UUGCAGCCCAGCUUGAGUGGAGCUCUUUUUUAUUGGUGGCUGAGCUUGUCGAAGCCACCAAUAAAAAAAGCGGGAACGGAAGCUGGAAAUAGC
rnacentral:misc_RNA from 1 species